GUUCGGCUCUGCUGGGAGCGGAUUACGGAUUACGGGUAUGCGAAUGUAAUAAGGUCAAGAGGGAGAGAUAAGGCCAUCCGGCUUAUACAAAACAGUGUUAAAUACACAGAGAUAGUUCGACCAAGCCAACCAGCCCAAUGAGACACGGAAUCAUCCGUAGUCAACCCAUCUAUAGCUUCGUAAGCUCAUCUUAAAAUCAUAUGAGGCCACAAUGUAGAUACUAUUAUAUAUUAUAAAAUCACAUAAACAAUCGAAUCAAGGCACUAGCCUGUUAUGGCCACAGAACUCAACAGUUCCGCACCGUCGCCCAUAAACCAGAUUAUUAAUUAAUUGAAGCAGGUUCAUUGGUAUGCAUGAAACACGUUCAAAGAUGUCAACAUCUUACAAUGCAGGUCUGAGGAGAGCCAGUUAUGCUGCCUGAGACCAGGCGAUUUGCAUAAAACGGAAUGAUAAGCUGGACACCUGAUUUCGAGACCAUUGAUAACAAAAUGUUUGUUCAAUAAAGAAAACCACUAUAUCGCUGAA